AACCCCAGCAACGGGCAGAGACACCUUGUGGGUUAUGUCGUCGUAUCAGUCAAGGGCAGAGCAGAUGGCUGUCCUUUGUUCAUCCUAGCUUGAUGCUUGGCUUGGUGGCCAAAGUUAUCUUAUGCCUAGGACACAUAA